rnacentral:lncRNA from 1 species
UUUUGAUACUUAAGUAUAUUUUAAACGAAAUACUUUUAGAGUUUUACUAAAGUAGAAUUUUACUGGGUGACUUUCACUUCUACUUGAGUCAUUUUCUAUUAAGGUUUCUUUUCAAGCAUGACAAUUGGGUACUUUUCCACCACUGGGCCAUUAGUUGACUAGGUUAAACAUGUCACAUUAGUCUGUAAAUUGCUUUUUGGACUGCAAUACUCAUUGGCAAGUCUUCUAAAUAAGCAUGAUGGCUUUUAAUUUUGACAACUUUCUCAUGUUAUUGUUCAAUAGUUAUACUAUAGUUUUGUUUUAAGGCUAUCCAUUAGGAAUCAAUGAGCUAGGCUAUUAUACACACAAAUUAUUUAGGGUUAGGAUUAGGAAUCAAUGAGCUAGGCUAUUAUACACACAAAUCAUUUAGGAUUAGGGUUAGGAAAUAAUGAGCUAGGCUAUUAUACACACAAAUUAUUUAGGGUUAGGAUUAGGAAUUAAUGACUAGGCUAUUAUACACACAAAUCAUUUAGGAUUAGGAUUAGGUUUAGGAAUUAAUGAGCUAGGCUAUUAUACACACAAAUUAUUUAGGGUUAGGAUUAGGAUUAGGGUUAGGAAUUAAUGAGCUAGGCUAUUAUACACACAAAUUAUUUAGGGUUAGGAUUAGGGUUAGGAUUAGGAAUUAAUGAGAUAGGCUAUUAUACACACAAAUAAUUCAUUUGGUGCAGGCAACUGUGUUGUAGUAGGCUAUUGACACAGCUCAGACUAUCAUGUAUGAUGGAAUAUUCAGAAAAAGGGCUAUCUAAUUUUUAAAAUGAGAAAUACAUGUAAGUCCAUCAAAGUCUGAGCUAUGUUAAUAAAUAGCGUACAACACAUUUGAUGGUUGGUAAAACCAAAGUUCCAGAAGGACAUAAACCUGGCCCAUGUAAUGUGUAUCUCAGUGGUAUAACACAGACUGUUUAUAGCCCCUAGCACAGGGCAUGGGCAUCAUCGACUGUAGGAGUAGCAUAGCGUCAUUACUGUAUGGCAUCCUGUUGUUGUUUACGGUCACAAUGACUGUAAUAAUGUCUGUAAUACUUUACAGUGACGUGUCUGACUAAUACACUGUUUUAGUCACUUCAUGUAGGCGAGGAAGUGUGGCCAAAAGGGUCAGCCAGUGAAAAUAGAAAGUCUCCUCUUCCUCUCCCCUGGCCGUAUCAGAGCGCUGUAACCUUUAUUGUGUGGUAGGGUCAGCUUGGACACUUAAUAACAAUCCACUCCAGGGUGAAGCAGCACCACGCCCUCUCUCGCCAAGUUCCCAUAAACAGACCUGAUUAACAUAAUACAAAAAUCCCCGUCAUAAUCGUUCAGUUUAAGCUAGAGAUAUCUAGCGAAAAUCGGUCUUCUCACAAAAACAUCUGUCGUGUCUGAACGGUACCGUCGAUGUGCCAACUUCCGUUAGUAGCGUCCGGGCUACAAACUUAAACUGACCCCACUGUAGAAAGGGGAGAUUCACAAGAACACGAUGGUGUUCUCUGUUGUGCUCUACAACCCCCACAAUAACCACGGGACCCGUCUGAGGGUAACCGGUACCCGGUAAAAACGUGGAAGUAUGGAGGUAGUUUUGUGCCUCCCCAAAUAAAGGAGUUAAAUAUGUG